GGUCGCUUAGCUCAGUUGGUUAGAGCGUUCGGUUCACAUCCGAAAGGUCCCAGGUUCGAGUCCUGGAGCGACCA
rnacentral:tRNA from 1 species